rnacentral:rRNA from 1 species
GAUGAACGCUGGCGGCGUGCCUAAUACAUGCAAGUCGAGCGAACGGACGAGAAGCUUGCUUCUCUGAUGUUAGCGGCGGACGGGUGAGUAACACGUGGAUAACCUACCUAUAAGACUGGGAUAACUUCGGGAAACCGGAGCUAAUACCGGAUAAUAUUUUGAACCGCAUGGUUCAAAAGUGAAAGACGGUCUUGCUGUCACUUAUAGAUGGAUCCGCGCUGCAUUAGCUAGUUGGUAAGGUAACGGCUUACCAAGGCAACGAUGCAUAGCCGACCUGAGAGGGUGAUCGGCCACACUGGAACUGAGACACGGUCCAGACGCCUACGGGAGGCAGCGGUAGGGAAUCUUCCGCAAUGGGCGAAAGCCUGACGGAGCAACGCCACGUGAGUGAUGAAGGUCUUCGGAUCGUAAAACUCUGUUAUUAGGGAAGAACAUAUGUGUAAGUAACUGUGCACAUCUUGACGGUACCUAAUCAGAAAGCCACGGCUAACUACGUG